UGUUAUAAUUAUUAUUUUUAAUAAUUUAUUUGUUAAAAUUUUAUUUGAAUUAAUUUUUUGUUUUUGUAUAUUGUUUAGAUUUGAUUUAUUUAAUUAUAAUUUAUUUUUACUGUGUGGGAUAUAUUUUUAAUUUAUGGAAGUGGAAAUAUUUUGUACCUUGUGUAUCAGGGUUUAUUAAAUUAUAUUAUUAAUAUUUUAUAUCCCGAUUUUAAAGGAUUUAAUUAAUUAUUUUAGUUAUUGUUUUAUAAUUAUUAAUAAUGAUUAUUUGGUAGUGAUAUGUUAUUCGACUUUAAUGGUAUCUGGUUUUUCAAGAAAUGAAUUUAAUUCAUAUAUUUAUUAUUAUAUAUCUAUUUUAUUAGAUUUUAUUUUAUUAGUAUAAAUAUUAUGGGGGAUAAGCUCUUUAGUAUAUUUUUAUAAUUUUUUUAUAUUUUUAGUUUUGUUGAUUUUAUAAUAAUUAUCAAUUUAAGUUUGUUAAAAUUUUAUUUUAUUAUUUUUUAUAGUUAUUAUUUUAUUUAAUUAUUUUAUUGAAAUUUUUUAUUUAUUUAUUAUUUUUUUGUAAUUAGUAUUGAAUUAGUAAUUAAUAAAUAUUAUUUUGUUUUAAUCAAUCUCUCAUGGUUUAGAAGUUAGGCUCAUUUUGUUUGGUUUGCGCAACCGCUAUUCUAAUAAUCAUCAAUUUAAGUUUGUUACAAUUUUAUUUUAUUAUCUUUUGGUUUAUUAAUCAUUUAAUUGUUUUAUUUAAAUUUUUUAUUGAGUAAUUAUUUGUUAGUAAUUAUGAUUGAAUUAGUAAUUAAUAAAUAUUAUUUUAUUAUAUUUUUUAUAAUUAUUUUAAAAGGAACUAGGCAAUAUUAAUUUGUUCUCGCAUGUUUAUCAAAAACAUCUUUUCUUGUUUAAUGUAUAUGAAGUAUGACCUGCCCACUGAUUAGUUUUAAAGGGCCGCGGUAUUUUGACCGUGCAAAGGUAGCAUAAUAAUUAGUCCUUUAAUUGUGGACUUGAAUGAAUGGUUGGACGAGGAAUUAACUGUUUCUUAAUAUUUUAUUGAAUUUAAUUUUUAAGUUAUAAUGCUUAAAUAUAUUUAUGGGACGAGAAGACCCUAUAGAGUUUAUAUAUAUUAGGUAUUUUUUUCGUUUGUUUAUGUUUGAUUGAUUAUUUAAUAUAUUUUAUUGGGGUGAUGGGGAGAAUUAAUUAACUCUUUUUUGUAUAUACACAUUUAUUUAUGAAUAUUUGAUUCAUUUUUUUUGAUUAUAAGAUUAAAUUACCUUAGGGAUAACAGCGUAAUCUUUUUUGAGAGUUCUUAUCGAUAAAAGGGUUUGCGACCUCGAUGUUGGAUUAAGAUUUAAUUUGGGUGUAGAAUUUCAUUUUGUUUAGGUCUGUUCGACCUUUAAAAUCUUACAUGAUCUGAGUUCAGACCGGUGAGAGCCAGGUUGGUUUCUAUCUAUAAUAAAUUUUAUAUCUUAGUACGAGAGGACCAGAUAUUUAAAAUAAUUUUUUCUUUAAUGAUUUUUAUUAAUUUUUG
rnacentral:rRNA from 1 species